UACGUAGGGGGCUAGCGUUGUCCGGAAUCAUUGGGCGUAAAGCGCGUGUAGGCGGCCCGGUAAGUCCGCUGUGAAAGUCGGGGGCUCAACCCUCGGAUGCCGGUGGAUACUGUCGGGCUCGAGUACGGAAGAGGCGAGUGGAAUUCCUGGUGUAGCGGUGAAAUGCGCAGAUAUCAGGAGGAACACCGGUGGCGAAGGCGGUUCUCUGGGCCUUACCUGACGCUGAGGAGCGAAAGCAUGGGGAGCAAACAGG
rnacentral:rRNA from 1 species